GAGAUUAGAUUCGUUUCUAUUCAUCCAUAAUUAAUAAAAAAAAAAGACCAAACAAACAAAAAUCAUAUUCCAAGGGUAUUUUCGUAAACAAACAAAACCCUCACAAGUCUCGUUUUAUAAAACGAUUCACGUUCACAAACUCAUUCAUCAUCUCUCUCUCCUCUAACCAUGGCGGCGGCAACAUCGUCUUCUCCGAUCUCCUUAACCGCUAAACCUUCUUCCAAAUCCCCUCUACCCAUUUCCAGAUUCUCCCUUCCCUUCUCCUUAACCCCACAGAAAGACUCCUCCCGUCUCCACCGUCCUCUCGCCAUCUCCGCCGUUCUCAACUCACCCGUCAAUGUCGCACCUCCUUCCCCUGAAAAAACCGACAAGAACAAGACUUUCGUCUCCCGCUACGCUCCCGACGAGCCCCGCAAGGGUGCUGAUAUCCUCGUCGAAGCCCUCGAGCGUCAAGGCGUCGAAACCGUCUUUGCUUAUCCCGGAGGUGCUUCCAUGGAGAUCCACCAAGCCUUGACUCGCUCCUCCACCAUCCGUAACGUCCUUCCCCGUCACGAACAAGGAGGAGUCUUCGCCGCCGAGGGUUACGCUCGUUCCUCCGGCAAACCGGGAAUCUGCAUAGCCACUUCGGGUCCCGGAGCUACCAACCUCGUCAGCGGGUUAGCAGACGCGAUGCUUGACAGUGUUCCUCUUGUCGCCAUUACAGGACAGGUCCCUCGCCGGAUGAUCGGUACUGACGCCUUCCAAGAGACGCCAAUCGUUGAGGUAACGAGGUCUAUUACGAAACAUAACUAUUUGGUGAUGGAUGUUGAUGACAUACCUAGGAUCGUUCAAGAAGCUUUCUUUCUAGCUACUUCCGGUAGACCCGGACCGGUUUUGGUUGAUGUUCCUAAGGAUAUUCAGCAGCAGCUUGCGAUUCCUAACUGGGAUCAACCUAUGCGCUUACCUGGCUACAUGUCUAGGUUGCCUCAGCCUCCGGAAGUUUCUCAGUUAGGUCAGAUCGUUAGGUUGAUCUCGGAGUCUAAGAGGCCUGUUUUGUACGUUGGUGGUGGAAGCUUGAACUCGAGUGAAGAACUGGGGAGAUUUGUCGAGCUUACUGGGAUCCCCGUUGCGAGUACUUUGAUGGGGCUUGGCUCUUAUCCUUGUAACGAUGAGUUGUCCCUGCAGAUGCUUGGCAUGCACGGGACUGUGUAUGCUAACUACGCUGUGGAGCAUAGUGAUUUGUUGCUGGCGUUUGGUGUUAGGUUUGAUGACCGUGUCACGGGAAAGCUCGAGGCUUUCGCUAGCAGGGCUAAAAUUGUGCACAUAGACAUUGAUUCUGCUGAGAUUGGGAAGAAUAAGACACCUCACGUGUCUGUGUGUGGUGAUGUAAAGCUGGCUUUGCAAGGGAUGAACAAGGUUCUUGAGAACCGGGCGGAGGAGCUCAAGCUUGAUUUCGGUGUUUGGAGGAGUGAGUUGAGCGAGCAGAAACAGAAGUUCCCUUUGAGCUUCAAAACGUUUGGAGAAGCCAUUCCUCCGCAGUACGCGAUUCAGAUCCUCGACGAGCUAACCGAAGGGAAGGCAAUUAUCAGUACUGGUGUUGGACAGCAUCAGAUGUGGGCGGCGCAGUUUUACAAGUACAGGAAGCCGAGACAGUGGCUGUCGUCAUCAGGCCUCGGAGCUAUGGGUUUUGGACUUCCUGCUGCGAUUGGAGCGUCUGUGGCGAACCCUGAUGCGAUUGUUGUGGAUAUUGACGGUGAUGGAAGCUUCAUAAUGAACGUUCAAGAGCUGGCCACAAUCCGUGUAGAGAAUCUUCCUGUGAAGAUACUCUUGUUAAACAACCAGCAUCUUGGGAUGGUCAUGCAAUGGGAAGAUCGGUUCUACAAAGCUAACAGAGCUCACACUUAUCUCGGGGACCCGGCAAGGGAGAACGAGAUCUUCCCUAACAUGCUGCAGUUUGCAGGAGCUUGCGGGAUUCCAGCUGCGAGAGUGACGAAGAAAGAAGAACUCCGAGAAGCUAUUCAGACAAUGCUGGAUACACCAGGACCAUACCUGUUGGAUGUGAUAUGUCCGCACCAAGAACAUGUGUUACCGAUGAUCCCAAGUGGUGGCACUUUCAAAGAUGUAAUAACAGAAGGGGAUGGUCGCACUAAGUACUGAGAGAUGAAGCUGGUGAUCGAUCAUAUGGUAAAAGACUUAGUUUCAGUUUCCAGUUUCUUUUGUGUGGUAAUUUGGGUUUGUCAGUUGUUGUACUACUUUUGGUUGUUCCCAGACGUACUCGCUGUUGUUGUUUUGUUUCCUUUUUCUUUUAUAUAUAAAUAAACUGCUUGGGUUUUUUUUCAUAUGUUUGGGACUCAAUGCAAGGAAUGCUACUAGACUGCGAUUAUCUACUAAUCUUGCUAGGAAAUGGCACUUUACAUUGGGUGUGAUUGUCAUAUUUUCAGUUUUUUAGCUACGAGAACGAUGAAAGUUCAGAUUUCACACACUAUAUAUAUGUUUGAUCGAUGUUGUAUGCUCUUAAACAUUUCUAUCUUUCCUUUUCUCAUAUUAUCCAUCACACUCUUUAAUAUGAUGUAAAUUGCUUCUUCUCUAAGCUACACCAGUCGUAAGCAACAUACGAAGAAGCUUUUUGAAAACAUCUUUUAUUCUCUCAUCACACUUUGUGUAUGUGUCAAUAACAUGUCAACUUCAUCUGUGUUGAAAUAAACAUUCGGUUCAUUGUAACAACAAUAAUUUCUGUCUUUUUUUUUUAUCAACACAAUAAUUUUCUGUCUUACACCUAAGUAACACAUGUUCUUUCGUUCUCCCCAUUUUUAUUUAAGUGCGACACUUCAAACCCAUUAACAGAUCAAACAACCAAAUCACAUACAGCAGCUUCACAUCAGAUCAACUUUAACACACCCCUAUGUCAUCGCAUUUCAUUCUCUCCCUGCUUAAAUGGUCACACUCUUAUACAAACCAUAAGCCUAGUGAUAUUUAUUAUUCCAGCGUCUUAUAGCCGCUGUCAAAUAUCAACCUACCAUACUAUUACAUCAUCAGAGAUAUUCCCGGUUUCUCUCUAAGCUUGACAAGAACACGUGAGACACAAUUCCGAACUCGGCUUUAGCAUUCUCUUAAAAGAUGGUAUGAUCAGGACCCUUGCCUCAUACCAACAUCUUGUGAUCACAGCUUCUUAAUAUCAAGACUUUUGUAGACGAUCAUCAUCCGAUUAUCACAAUGCCUUAUUUCCAAACUUGCGAUCAUAAUCAUAUUGACCCUUUACUGUCACAACGUCCUUUUGUAUCGAAAUUUAUUCCGAGCAAAACACUUACUUGUCCAAGAAAAAUAAGCUCCACAAUAAAAUUCUUUUGAGUCUUCCGACUCAUAUAACAUGAUCUAGCGAAAAUUUUAGAUUACAACCAGUCUUUAACUCCUUAAUCCGAAACUCAGCCUGUCGAAGACCAAAUCCAAAACCAAACGCCUCCAAGCUUUGAGCACUUUAUGAGUCUAUUAUGAUUGUCAUGUGAUUGAUCCCAUACCACAACAACCCAUGUCUUCUUAAUUUGAAACAAAAACUUACUAUGCCCCUCCAUGAGGACUUCUCCUCACAUCAGCUUCUUGAGAGUUUAUAUGGAUAUUCAAUCUUGUUCUGAACACUCAUGAUAGUUGCGAACCUCCCUUUCUGACAGCUGCAUCCAGUGAAUGGUGAACCUUAUGCACCACCAACCAUGAUGCAUCACAAAGCCUGAAUAAUUGCAUCACACACUGCCAUCACAUCUAUCUUAAUAUCUCUGUCGAUUAUGUCUGUUUCAAUAUGAGAACAAUAUUAAAAACAAACUCUCACACUAGAUGUUGGAAGUGAUCAUAAAUAAUAUAUAAUAAUAUAAAUAUACAUACCAACCCAGUCAUCACAAAUUGGUUUUAGUUAAAAACUUAUCGAACUUAAUAUGGUAUCAUAUCCCUAUCUACGCAAUCCAAUCCGAUCCGCAAUCCAACCCGAUCCGCAAUCCAAAGUUGGUCCAUCUAUAUUUUUCCGAAAGUUAAAAGAGCCAUCAAAUCUCGAGUGUGCUUACUAGAGACAAAGUCUCCCAAAUUGAAAGUUGAAAGUAAACAUAAAUAAUAUAUAAGAUAUAUGGGGUCAAUCCACUUAUCAAUUGGUUUCAGGUUCUAAGCUCAUCUAAUAUCAUAAACAACACAUGAGAGUCAGUCUACUCCUCCUUUACAUCCAACGACAUAGUCAAAACUUCUAAAAAAUCCCUAUUUUAUGUUAAAUAAUUAGUUUGAAUAAUGUAUAUUACUAUUAUUUGAAUUAAUUUUUUUGCAUUCGAAAAGUAAUUUUAAUUGUCAUGUUCUCCAUGAUUUUAUGUAAUUUUCGUAUUAAAUUUUUCACUUUAAAAGUUAAAUUGGUUAAAGUCAUUGGUACCCUUAAUGAAUAAAUUGGUUAAAGUCAUUGGUACCCUUAAUGAAUAAUUAUAUGGAUAUAUUAUAGUUAUAUAUUUAGUUAUAAAUAUUUAUAAUAAUAAAUUAAUCAAAAUAAGUAAAUAUCAUGAUAUCCUACGAAACAUACAUCAAUAAGUUUAUUCAAAAAUCAAAAGAUCAACAACUCUGAAUUCUCGUGAUAAUGCCAAACUUUUUUCCAUGAUCCUACCAUGUAUCCACCAAGGAAUUCCUCAAGCAAUAUACGACUGAUUACCAUUAAUUAAUCGAAAAUAAAUUCACAUGCCAUUCAUCAGAAAUGUAUCCAUGGAACUUCAUACUUCUCGGUCACAUCACUAAUUCAACUCUUUUAUUACUUCACUUACAAGUUCUCUUCCUCAUCUCCUUCAGAUAAUAUACUCCUAGGCUCCUAGCCACCAAUCCAUAAUCUACCCGAAACAAGAUCAGAUUUACAAGAUCUCUAGCAUGAAUCCUCUUUGGUACCAUUUGAAAUUUUGGAUUUUCAGGAUAUAUUUAUAUGUUUCAUCAAUGUGAUAUGUAAAUGCGUAAACUAAAGAAGACACAUAGUUUUUUCAUGAGGUUUUGUUCUCUCUACAUCCCCUAGACCUAGUCUAAAAAUAAAUAUACCAGACAAAUAAAACAAAUACAGUUUCAAAUGGGAUCAAAGUGUUAAGAAACGUUUUAGGGAGCUGUUUAUGCCACCUAUGCGCUAUGCCCUAUAAAACUGUGAAGAUUACUUUUACCAAAAAAAAAAAAAAAACUGAGAGUCUGUAUGGGGUAUUUUCGUAAACAAACAAAACCCUCACAAGCCUCGUUUUAUAAAAACGAUUCACGUUCACAAACUCAUUCAUCAUCUCUCUCUCCUCUAACCAUGGCGGCGGCAACAUCGUCUUCUCCGAUCUCCUUAACCGCUAAACCUUCUUCCAAAUCCCCUCUACCCAUUUCCAGAUUCUCCCUUCCCUUCUCCUUAACCCCACAGAAAGACUCCUCCCGUCUCCACCGUCCUCUCGCCAUCUCCGCCGUUCUCAACUCACCCGUCAAUGUCGCACCUCCUUCCCCUGAAAAAACCGACAAGAACAAGACUUUCGUCUCCCGCUACGCUCCCGACGAGCCCCGCAAGGGUGCUGAUAUCCUCGUCGAAGCCCUCGAGCGUCAAGGCGUCGAAACCGUCUUUGCUUAUCCCGGAGGUGCUUCCAUGGAGAUCCACCAAGCCUUGACUCGCUCCUCCACCAUCCGUAACGUCCUUCCCCGUCACGAACAAGGAGGAGUCUUCGCCGCCGAGGGUUACGCUCGUUCCUCCGGCAAACCGGGAAUCUGCAUAGCCACUUCGGGUCCCGGAGCUACCAACCUCGUCAGCGGGUUAGCAGACGCGAUGCUUGACAGUGUUCCUCUUGUCGCCAUUACAGGACAGGUCCCUCGCCGGAUGAUCGGUACUGACGCCUUCCAAGAGACACCAAUCGUUGAGGUAACGAGGUCUAUUACGAAACAUAACUAUUUGGUGAUGGAUGUUGAUGACAUACCUAGGAUCGUUCAAGAAGCUUUCUUUCUAGCUACUUCCGGUAGACCCGGACCGGUUUUGGUUGAUGUUCCUAAGGAUAUUCAGCAGCAGCUUGCGAUUCCUAACUGGGAUCAACCUAUGCGCUUACCUGGCUACAUGUCUAGGUUGCCUCAGCCUCCGGAAGUUUCUCAGUUAGGUCAGAUCGUUAGGUUGAUCUCGGAGUCUAAGAGGCCUGUUUUGUACGUUGGUGGUGGAAGCUUGAACUCGAGUGAAGAACUGGGGAGAUUUGUCGAGCUUACUGGGAUCCCCGUUGCGAGUACUUUGAUGGGGCUUGGCUCUUAUCCUUGUAACGAUGAGUUGUCCCUGCAGAUGCUUGGCAUGCACGGGACUGUGUAUGCUAACUACGCUGUGGAGCAUAGUGAUUUGUUGCUGGCGUUUGGUGUUAGGUUUGAUGACCGUGUCACGGGAAAGCUCGAGGCUUUCGCUAGCAGGGCUAAAAUUGUGCACAUAGACAUUGAUUCUGCUGAGAUUGGGAAGAAUAAGACACCUCACGUGUCUGUGUGUGGUGAUGUAAAGCUGGCUUUGCAAGGGAUGAACAAGGUUCUUGAGAACCGGGCGGAGGAGCUCAAGCUUGAUUUCGGUGUUUGGAGGAGUGAGUUGAGCGAGCAGAAACAGAAGUUCCCUUUGAGCUUCAAAACGUUUGGAGAAGCCAUUCCUCCGCAGUACGCGAUUCAGAUCCUCGACGAGCUAACCGAAGGGAAGGCAAUUAUCAGUACUGGUGUUGGACAGCAUCAGAUGUGGGCGGCGCAGUUUUACAAGUACAGGAAGCCGAGACAGUGGCUGUCGUCAUCAGGCCUCGGAGCUAUGGGUUUUGGACUUCCUGCUGCGAUUGGAGCGUCUGUGGCGAACCCUGAUGCGAUUGUUGUGGAUAUUGACGGUGAUGGAAGCUUCAUAAUGAACGUUCAAGAGCUGGCCACAAUCCGUGUAGAGAAUCUUCCUGUGAAGAUACUCUUGUUAAACAACCAGCAUCUUGGGAUGGUCAUGCAAUGGGAAGAUCGGUUCUACAAAGCUAACAGAGCUCACACUUAUCUCGGGGACCCGGCAAGGGAGAACGAGAUCUUCCCUAACAUGCUGCAGUUUGCAGGAGCUUGCGGGAUUCCAGCUGCGAGAGUGACGAAGAAAGAAGAACUCCGAGAAGCUAUUCAGACAAUGCUGGAUACACCAGGACCAUACCUGUUGGAUGUGAUAUGUCCGCACCAAGAACAUGUGUUACCGAUGAUCCCAAGUGGUGGCACUUUCAAAGAUGUAAUAACAGAAGGGGAUGGUCGCACUAAGUACUGAGAGAUGAAGCUGGUGAUCGAUCAUAUGGUAAAAGACUUAGUUUCAGUUUCCAGUUUCUUUUGUGUGGUAAUUUGGGUUUGUCAGUUGUUGUACUACUUUUGGUUGUUCCCAGACGUACUCGCUGUUGUUGUUUUGUUUCCUUUUUCUUUUAUAUAUAAAUAAACUGCUUGGGUUUUUUUUCAUAUGUUUGGGACUCAAUGCAAGGAAUGCUACUAGACUGCGAUUAUCUACUAAUCUUGCUAGGAAAUGGCACUUUACAUUGGGUGUGAUUGUCAUAUUUUCAGUUUUUUAGCUACGAGAACGAUGAAAGUUCAGAUUUCACACACUAUAUAUAUGUUUGAUCGAUGUUGUAUGCUCUUAAACAUUUCUAUCUUUCCUUUUCUCAUAUUAUCCAUCACACUCUUUAAUAUGAUGUAAAUUGCUUCUUCUCUAAGCUACACCAGUCGUAAGCAACAUACGAAGAAGCUUUUUGAAAACAUCUUUUAUUCUCUCAUCACACUUUGUGUAUGUGUCAAUAACAUGUCAACUUCAUCUGUGUUGAAAUAAACAUUCGGUUCAUUGUAACAACAAUAAUUUCUGUCUUUUUUUUUUAUCAACACAAUAAUUUUCUGUCUUACACCUAAGUAACACAUGUUCUUUCGUUCUCCCCAUUUUUAUUUAAGUGCGACACUUCAAACCCAUUAACAGAUCAAACAACCAAAUCACAUACAGCAGCUUCACAUCAGAUCAACUUUAACACACCCCUAUGUCAUCGCAUUUCAUUCUCUCCCUGCUUAAAUGGUCACACUCUUAUACAAACCAUAAGCCUAGUGAUAUUUAUUAUUCCAGCGUCUUAUAGCCGCUGUCAAAUAUCAACCUACCAUACUAUUACAUCAUCAGAGAUAUUCCCGGUUUCUCUCUAAGCUUGACAAGAACACGUGAGACACAAUUCCGAACUCGGCUUUAGCAUUCUCUUAAAAGAUGGUAUGAUCAGGACCCUUGCCUCAUACCAACAUCUUGUGAUCACAGCUUCUUAAUAUCAAGACUUUUGUAGACGAUCAUCAUCCGAUUAUCACAAUGCCUUAUUUCCAAACUUGCGAUCAUAAUCAUAUUGACCCUUUACUGUCACAACGUCCUUUUGUAUCGAAAUUUAUUCCGAGCAAAACACUUACUUGUCCAAGAAAAAUAAGCUCCACAAUAAAAUUCUUUUGAGUCUUCCGACUCAUAUAACAUGAUCUAGCGAAAAUUUUAGAUUACAACCAGUCUUUAACUCCUUAAUCCGAAACUCAGCCUGUCGAAGACCAAAUCCAAAACCAAACGCCUCCAAGCUUUGAGCACUUUAUGAGUCUAUUAUGAUUGUCAUGUGAUUGAUCCCAUACCACAACAACCCAUGUCUUCUUAAUUUGAAACAAAAACUUACUAUGCCCCUCCAUGAGGACUUCUCCUCACAUCAGCUUCUUGAGAGUUUAUAUGGAUAUUCAAUCUUGUUCUGAACACUCAUGAUAGUUGCGAACCUCCCUUUCUGACAGCUGCAUCCAGUGAAUGGUGAACCUUAUGCACCACCAACCAUGAUGCAUCACAAAGCCUGAAUAAUUGCAUCACACACUGCCAUCACAUCUAUCUUAAUAUCUCUGUCGAUUAUGUCUGUUUCAAUAUGAGAACAAUAUUAAAAACAAACUCUCACACUAGAUGUUGGAAGUGAUCAUAAAUAAUAUAUAAUAAUAUAAAUAUACAUACCAACCCAGUCAUCACAAAUUGGUUUUAGUUAAAAACUUAUCGAACUUAAUAUGGUAUCAUAUCCCUAUCUACGCAAUCCAAUCCGAUCCGCAAUCCAACCCGAUCCGCAAUCCAAAGUUGGUCCAUCUAUAUUUUUCCGAAAGUUAAAAGAGCCAUCAAAUCUCGAGUGUGCUUACUAGAGACAAAGUCUCCCAAAUUGAAAGUUGAAAGUAAACAUAAAUAAUAUAUAAGAUAUAUGGGGUCAAUCCACUUAUCAAUUGGUUUCAGGUUCUAAGCUCAUCUAAUAUCAUAAACAACACAUGAGAGUCAGUCUACUCCUCCUUUACAUCCAACGACAUAGUCAAAACUUCUAAAAAAUCCCUAUUUUAUGUUAAAUAAUUAGUUUGAAUAAUGUAUAUUACUAUUAUUUGAAUUAAUUUUUUUGCAUUCGAAAAGUAAUUUUAAUUGUCAUGUUCUCCAUGAUUUUAUGUAAUUUUCGUAUUAAAUUUUUCACUUUAAAAGUUAAAUUGGUUAAAGUCAUUGGUACCCUUAAUGAAUAAAUUGGUUAAAGUCAUUGGUACCCUUAAUGAAUAAUUAUAUGGAUAUAUUAUAGUUAUAUAUUUAGUUAUAAAUAUUUAUAAUAAUAAAUUAAUCAAAAUAAGUAAAUAUCAUGAUAUCCUACGAAACAUACAUCAAUAAGUUUAUUCAAAAAUCAAAAGAUCAACAACUCUGAAUUCUCGUGAUAAUGCCAAACUUUUUUCCAUGAUCCUACCAUGUAUCCACCAAGGAAUUCCUCAAGCAAUAUACGACUGAUUACCAUUAAUUAAUCGAAAAUAAAUUCACAUGCCAUUCAUCAGAAAUGUAUCCAUGGAACUUCAUACUUCUCGGUCACAUCACUAAUUCAACUCUUUUAUUACUUCACUUACAAGUUCUCUUCCUCAUCUCCUUCAGAUAAUAUACUCCUAGGCUCCUAGCCACCAAUCCAUAAUCUACCCGAAACAAGAUCAGAUUUACAAGAUCUCUAGCAUGAAUCCUCUUUGGUACCAUUUGAAAUUUUGGAUUUUCAGGAUAUAUUUAUAUGUUUCAUCAAUGUGAUAUGUAAAUGCGUAAACUAAAGAAGACACAUAGUUUUUUCAUGAGGUUUUGUUCUCUCUACAUCCCCUAGACCUAGUCUAAAAAUAAAUAUACCAGACAAAUAAAACAAAUACAGUUUCAAAUGGGAUCAAAGUGUUAAGAAACGUUUUAGGGAGCUGUUUAUGCCACCUAUGCGCUAUGCCCUAUAAAACUGUGAAGAUUACUUUUACCAAAAAAAAAAAAAAAACUGUGACGAUUACCUUUUGAACUGCAGAAAUACUUACUAAUAAUAAAUAAUAUAUAUAUAAUUUAUUAUUCAUAAAUUAUAAUAAUCAUCUUAUAUGUUAAAUGAGAAGUCACUUACGUGACUUUUCCUUAUGUGUCACACUUACUUGUGAAGUCUUAUGAACUUUUUAAAAUUUAAUUGGUUGAUGAUUUUUAAUUUUUAUUUAUUGUAAUAAUUAAGAUCUAAAAAUUUAAGGUAAGUGUAGAAUCAAUAUACAUUACUUUCCAAAUAAUGUAAAAAAUAUUUCAAAUCAUAACUUAUGGUAACUAAUUUUCGAAGUUAGAGAAAGGCUAAUAAUGUUUGAUCAAUUAUUUUUGAUAUUUAUAAACUAUAUAAUAUAGCGAACAAAAAAAACUAUCUAAAAAUAAAUAUAAUAAUUUUAUAUUUUACAUAAUGAAUUAUAUUCAUAUAUUCAUAUAUAAUGACUUUAAAAUCAUAUCAAGUCCACACAUGCUUUAUAAAUCAUUAAUAAUGUUUUUAAAGACUUAAAACUUAUUUAUAAUCUAUUAAAAAAUCAAUUUAUCCCAAUUUUAAAAUAAUUUAUAAAAUUAUAAAAAUCAUUUAUAAAAAUGUAAAUUAUUUAUUUAACAAGAAGUCACUUAAGUUACACUUUCUUAUGUGUCUACUGUCCAUCAUUGGUGAAGUCUUAAACAUUUCUUAUAAUUUAGUUGGUCGAUGAUUUCUAAUUUUUAUUUCAUUUAUUUUGAUUUAAAAAAUAUAUAUUACGUCCAGAACAAAUUAAUAUCACUUUCCAAAUAAUCGAAUAAUAUUACAAAUGGUGAUUUAUGGUAACUAAUUAUUGAAAUUAUAGAAAGAGUUAUGAUGUUUGAUUAAUUAUUUUUAUAUUUAUAAACUAUAUAAUUAAAAAAUAUAUAUAAAUGAAUAUAAUAAUUUUAUAUUUUACAUCAAAAAUUAUAUUCAUAUAUAAGUGUAUAAUAACUAUAGUGUAUUAUAUAAUUCAUACAAGCCCUAUAAAUCAUUUAUAUAAAUUCAAUAACAUUUAUAAAAUUAAUGAUGAUGGUUUAAAUAUUAUUUUAUCAGAAAAUUUAAAUAAUUUAUAAGAACUUAUAAAUUAUUUAUUAGAGAAAAUUAGAAAAAUUAAAAAACAAUUAGAAAUUUACAAUAGAAAAAUGUUAUGUAUUCAAUUAAAAAUAAAAUAAAAUAAAUGUGAUAAUUAGAUAUCAAUAUAAAUGUGUGAUUAUUGCAAUGCACACUGAAGAAUAUAUAUGUUAAUCGUUCAAUAUAUAAGCUUUAAAGACAUAUGAUAAUUUUGCAAUUAUAAAAUAUUUCGUGUUUAAGUCAAAGAGACCAUAAAUAUAGUAGAUAAGAUAAUGUGAUGAUUGAAAAAAGAUUUUAAAAUGGAUUUUUUGGUUCAAUGAUUUUUUUUUUUUGAUGAAAUUUCAAAUUUAUUGAUCAAUCAUGAAAGAGUUUCAUUUACAAAAGAAUCAGGCUACGAAGAAUAUACUGUAAAGAAUAAUGUGUGAUUAUAUGGAAUUCCAUCUUCUAAACUAGUUGGUGAGCGGAAACCAUCUCUGCAGAAGUCCAGCGUUUCGAUGCUGCGGACCAUACUUCAGUGACAUGAUUCUGUUCUUCAUCGACCUAUCAAUAACCUUUCGCAGCUGGUCCAUGGAUGUCCAUUUACCCUGGUGCCGCCUCGUAUUUCUUUCCCUCCAUACAUAGUAAAUGACUGUUUGAAAGAUCAUCUUGAUUAGGAUGGAAUCAAGACGAUUCAACCUGUUUCGCUGGAUCGCAUUGAGUGUGAGGGUCCAGUCGGAGUUUGUCCUCUGGCCAAAGAAGCCUCUCACCAGACUUUCCCAAACUGUGAAUGAGUAAGGACAAGCAAAAAAGAGAUGAUCUAUUGUCUCGUCCCACUCUCCACAGAGUCCACAACCCUGCGUGAUACCCUAACUCCUCGUCCUGUCUCUAGUAGACAGCAUGUUCUGUACUGCUAGCCAAGUGAUAAAUGCGUACCUAGGAACACUCUGCGUGAACCAAACGACCCUGCACCAUUCAACCUUCGGCUUCUUGAUCCUUAUCUGCUCCCAAGUCUUUGCAGUACAGAACUUAUCCUGGAAAUCAUCCUCUCCUUGCUUCCCCAGAACCAGAUCAGUUCCCCUAUCUGCAUCAGGGACAGGCUCUGUAAGAAUCUGAUUAUAUAACACGUGAAACCUUCUGCUGCGCUUGUUUCUCAUACUCCAGCCAUAACCUGAACCCGCAUCACACACCAGUGCUUUUCGAGGAAGACCCAAAUACGUAGUGCCAAUGGCUCCUGUGACUUCGAUUAAUUUCCUCAUACCCAUCUAAUUAUCGAACCAGAAAUGUAUAGUUUAUCCAUCUCGAACCUCUAUUUUCAUGAACUCAUAGGCCAUGUCUGUAACACCCCCGAACCGUCCCUUGGCAUAGGUCAACCCACCGGCCAACAAUCAAACAAGAACAUGACCGACGGACGACCCACACCAAGGGUUGGAGAUGAAAGGCCAACCGGCCAGCCAACAAUCAAACAAGAACAUGACUGACCGUCCAACCCAACACCAUGGUCCGGGAGCGCUACGUGACGGGUUAGAGACGAUCCGGCCAGAGUCACAAAAUUUACUCCACGACCUCGACCAGUUCGUCCACUAACACGUCCCGCUGCGUCAAGGCACAAGGCUUUGCAACCUGUACCUAGAGUUAGCGUUUUCCGUUAGAUCGAGGCCUAAAGCUUUUCAACCCGUACCACGACCUAACGUUGUGUUAGACCCGACUAGUCAAAUAUCAGAGUACUCAUGUAGCACAUAUAAAACAAUUACUUUUAUUGAUUUAAGAAAUAUUCAUACAUUGAAUAAUUCCAGACUGGGCCCGGCCUAAUGCCAAAUCGAGUCAACAUAACACAAUUCACAAUACCGUUUACAAAAGGCAUGAAAAUCUACACCGGCGGUCCUAACGUCCAGCACCAAGCUAUCCGAUCAUCCUUACCUAAAGCGACCUGCAAAAAGGACAACGGAGUUGGAUGAGUAACCUAAUGUUACUCAGUGAGCUGGCGGCCUCUACCCGCAACCUAGACUCUACCCAGACAACCCAAAAUAACAAUCAAUCUAGCCCUAGCAUGCAAUAAAAGCUAAGGCUAAGCAAACCGUUACUAAGUUAGACUUGGCCUCCUGCCAUGAUCUAGCUUCAAGUAACGGGAACCUGCAUUAAAACAAGUCAACAAGCAAUCCCUAGUUAACCAUAUAUACGCUUGAGUUCAAUACUCAUGUAGUGUUAGACACUUAGACUAUACAAGUAUCAUUAGUCGAUCGACCAACAAUCAAACAAGAACAUGAUCGGCCAACCAAUGAUACCGCAUAGCUUUAAUAUCCACCACCCUUCACAAGCAAUCACUCAAACACAUAUAGGCCAACGUCAGGCCUACACUAACAAAAUACACAUCAAGCCUAAUCCGGUACCUAAACCAGACUUAGGACUUAAUGUCAGAACCUGCAAGCAAAUCAAUCAACCACAAACACAAUCACAAUAAUAAGACUAUGAGUAACUACGACUCGAUCUAACUUGUAACACCGUAUAUCGGUGCUACACUAACUCGAGGGUUCCAUAACCCUCUACGACACUCUAACACAACACUCUAACCUGGGCCCUGGUGACUUCGUGUUCCUCCUCUCUAUCGGCAAUAUCCUAUCUCCCUACCACAAAGGCCAGAAGAAGGAACUUUCAACCGACCGCGGCCCACAGUCCUUCGGGUCACCGCGCGACAGCCCACAGUCCUUCGGGUCACUGCCACAUUACACCGUCGUGUAAUCACUCAGCCAUAGGCCAUGACCCCGUCUCUCUGAGUCUUCCCGAUCCAGCGAAUAAGGGGUUUCCUUGAACCCGCUGGGUACGAGGUCUGAAGGAACACUAACUCACCCCUACACAAGCCUAGUAUGGGCGGGUCACGCACAUACUGUCGGCACACUCACAACAAAACAAACUCAAUCUAGAACCUAACCUAAAGCUAAAGUUCCAGAUCCUAACUAGACACUCGACUCUACAACACAAACCAAUAGUACCAGUAGUCCGGCCUAUAUGGCCUAAGACCCUUAGUACUAACUACUAAACAAUAAUAUCAAUACUAAACAACACAAUCAAACCGUUACCCAGAUAGUCCAGCCUCCCGCUGAGAAACUAUCUUUAAAGAUAACGGGAACCUGCACUCAACAAUAUCAACACGCAAUAAUAGAAAACAUGAUGCAUCCUAGCCCUAGUCCUAGUCAGGUUAUUAACUCAGUCUUAAUUCCAUUCAUCUCAGCUUAGCCCUUGCUAAACUGAGUCCGGUUCCAUAAAUAAAAUAACCCUAAGGACUCUACCAUUCAAUAGCGUGAUCAUUCUAAUCUAUAUGCAGACUCGAUCUACCCUAAAUUCCAAGUGGAAUUCAAACAAACCAACUCACAGUGUUCUAGGCGAGAAGCAGCUGGUUGAUCGGAGAAGACUUGGCCAAAACCCAAUGGACGCCUUGACUGGACUGGAAUGGACUGAUCUUGUCUUGGACACAACCUUGGCUUCACCAUGAAGAAGUUGACAGGCCUCGACAGGCUGAUCUGGACUCGGACAGAACCUCCUCUAGCUUCUGGACAGUUCUUCGGACUUCCCGCGGAGUAUCGAGCAGAACUUCGACUGAUCUGAACCCGUGGUUCUGAACUAACUCUGGGCAGCACCUCCACUAGACCAUCAUAGAAUAUGACUGGCUUGGACGAAUUGAAUUGGACAGAGCUUCCGCGUCACAAUCGUAGAGAAUCGCCGAUUGGACGGAACUGGCCUUCUCGGUGGAGUAUCGGUCUUCAGAAUCGACCAUACUCUAGAAUCGAUCACUUCCUUUCUCUCUCUCUCUCUCUCUCUCUCUAUAGCCACGUUGACUUGACUCCCAUCUGAUCUGAUCUUCACUUGAUUGACCUUCAGUUGGACAGAACCUUCCCAAGGCGAUGACUCGAAAUCAAUAGAGAACUGAUCUCGAAAACUCUCUAAAACUCUCGAAAUAGCUCGGAAUCACUUGCUUUCUUUUUCUACUUUUCUCUCAAGGUUUUAACUUGGUUUGGACAGGUCUGGAUGUGAAGAAAUGAGCUGGGGUCGUGGGGUAUUUAUAGGAGACACCAGCCAAUCAGCUUCAGGUUGGUGGCAGCCCGUGUGUCGCUCCGCAUGGCUCCGGACGCAUGCACGGCGACACCUCGUGCUCCACAUGGCUGGCUGCAUGUCCAGGACACAUGCAGGACGCCACCACUCCUCCCAGAUGUCAGGCUGCAUGACUGGAGCUCAUGCAAGGCGCCACAGCAUCACACACAUGUCGAUCAGCAUGCUUCGGUUGCAUGCGUCGCGACAUCUCGUGCUUGGCUAAUCCACCUCGUGCUCCUACAUGUCAAGCUGCAUGUGCAGCUUCCAUGCACGGCGACACCUCGAGCUUCUCUUGACACUCAGCUGGUUAGACAGUUGCCACCACGUUCUUAUCCCUUCUGAUCAAGCCACCUCGAGCUUCUCGGUUUCUUUGCGCGAUUUCGACCCUUCUUGUGAAUUUUUGACCCGCGAUCAAUCCCGAAUAUUUUUCCGCUCCCAUUCUGAUUCUCUGAAUAUUUUUAAUAAACUACAGAUGAUGUCUGAUAUCCUUUAAAAAUAUUUCCCGAGCCUCCGGCUUCCUCAAAGAAUUUCGUAAUACCGAAAUUAGGGUUUUCGCCCAACUUCGGGUUUUCCCGUCGUGCUUCCAUCCCGUCGUGCUUGCUUCCCGUCCUGCUUAAUUCCCGUCCUGCUUCCGACUUAUAAUGUCUUCAGAAUAAUAUUUUACUGAUACGAAGAUAUUCCGAGAAAACUUCGUGAUGAAGAAACGUCAGUCUUCAAAAACGUCGAGCUUCUAAACCGUCGUGCUUCCAAAAAUGUUAUGCUUCCAAAACAUCCUUCUGAUCAAUCUAACACUUUUCUAACCAUGGUCCAGCAGCUUAUGGUUCACCCAUGAUCAAUUCUUCGACCAUCCAUUGCCCGCGGUAUGACCACUAAAUAAUAAUUUUUUUUUUUAACGGGUUUCUACAUUCUCCCCCCCUUAAUAGAAUUCGUCCUCGAAUUCUUGGUUGCGCAAUUGCUCGUCUUCACAACAUUCUCCACUCAUCUCCAUAACCUCUUUACGCUGUCCACCACGGUUCCUUGAGUGUCCUCUUCAAGGCCUCCACAAUUGUCUUCAUAUCUCAUCACUGGAAUGAUCACUGAGUCAUCCUCUUUCUUUUACUCUGCCAUAACACCCUCAUUGCCCAUGAUACUAUCUUGUCCAGAUUCCUCAAAUCCUUUCUCGAUCUUUGUCUUCCCAAUUACUGAUGAAGUCCUUCCCCAAUGAAGUCUUGUUUCCUCCCAUCUGUCCAGUCCAUACCACAGCCCAGUUCUCUGAAUCUGUCUCUCCUCUUUCGCUUCGGGUUUGGGUUUGGCCUUGAACUCCCUCCACUUUAAGGUUUUCAUCCCUUAAAGUUCCGAUCAACAAACAUACUUACUCGCUGCAACUCAAAAGAACACUUAACAUGCAAGUUAGUAGACAAUUAAUCAAAUAAUCUACUAACCUAGCAAAUACUAACAAUGCAACCUAACCGCAAUUCUAACCAGCAACCUAACAGUUCUACCCAAGCAACCUAACAGUUCUAGAUUCCACUAUCUCAAUCCUAAUUUCCUAAAACCACAAAUCCUAUCGCUGGACGUGACCGGUUUCCCUAAUGCCUUUUGUGACUCAUUUUGACUCGAUAAAUAUUUAAAACCGAUUAAAUCAUGAGUUCCGGAAGCAUGGACGAAACCAUGCUCUGAUACCACCUCUGUAACACCCCCGAACCGUCCUAAGCAUAGGUCGACCCACCGGCCAACAAUCAAACAAGAACAUGACCGACGGACGACCCACACCAAGGGUUGGAGAUGAAAGGCCAACCGGCCAGCCAACAAUCAAACAAGAACAUGACUGACCGUCCAACCCAACACCAUGGUCCGGAAGCGCUACGUGACGGGCUAGGGACAAUCCGGUCAGAGUCACAAACUUUACUCCACGACCUAGACCAGUUCAUCCACUAACUCGUCCCGCUGCGUCAAGGCAUAAGGCUUUGCAACCCGUACCUAGAGUUAGCGUUUUCCGUUAGAUCAAGGCCUAAGGCUUUUCAACCCGUACCUCGACCUAACGUUGUGUUAGACCGGACUAGUCAAAUAUCAGAGUACUCAUGAAGCGCAUAUAAAACAAUUACUUUUAUUGAUUCAAGAAAUAUUCAUACAUUGAAUAAUUCAAGACUGGGCCCGGCCUAAUGCCAAAUCGAGUCAACAUAACACAAUUCACAAUACCGUUUACAAAAGGCAUGAAAAUCUACACCGGCGGUCCUAACGUCCAGCACCAAGCUAUCCGAUCAUCCUUACCUAAAGCGACCUGCAAAAAGGACAACGGAGUUGGAUGAGUAAUCUAGUAUUACUCAGUGAGCUGGCGGCCUCUACCCGCAACCUAGACUCUACCCAGACAACCCAAAAUAACAAUCAAUCUAGCCCUAGCAUGCAAUAAAAGCUAAGGCUAAGCAAACCGUUACUAAGUUAGACUUGGCCUCCUGCCAUGAUCUAGCUUCAAGUAACGGGAACCUGCAUUAAAACAAGUCAACAAGCAAUCCCUAGUUAACCAUAUAUACGCCUGAGUUCAAUACUCAUGUAGUGUUAGACACUUAGACUAUACAAGUAUCAUUAGUCGAUCGACCAACAAUCAAACAAGAACAUGAUCGGCCAACCAAUGAUACCGCAUAGCUUUAAUAUCCACCACCCUUCACAAGCAAUCCCUCAAACACAUACAGGCCAACGUCAGGCCUACACUAACAAAAUACACAUCAAGCCUAAUCCGGUACCUAAGCCAGACUUAGGACUUAAUGUCAGAACCUGCAAGCAAAUCAAUCAACCACAAACACAAUCACAAUAAUAAGACUAUGAGUAACUACGACUCGAUCUAACUUGUAACACCGUAUAUCGGUGCUACACUAACUCGAGGGUUCCAUAACCCUCUACGACACUCUAACACAACACUCUAACCUGGGCCCUGGUGACUUCGUGUUCCUCCUCUCUAUCGGCAAUAUCCUAUCUCCCUACCACAAAGGCCAGAAGAAGGAACUUUCAACCGACCGCGGCCCACAGUCCUUCGGGUCACCGCGCGACAGCCCACAGUCCUUCGGGUCACUGCCACAUUACACCGUCGUGUAAUCACUCAGCCAUAGGCCAUGACCCCGUCUAUCUGAGUCUUCCCGAUCCAGCGAAUAAGGGGUUUCCUUGAACCCGCUGAAUACGAGGGCGAGGAAACACUAGUCCACCCCAAAACAUGCCUAGCAUGGGCGGGUUUCGCACCUGCUGUCGGCAUAACACACACUCGACACAAUUAUCCCUAGGAAAGACCUAAGGGACAAGACUCCAACCCAAAACUAAACAACUCAACCAGUUAGUCACUCCCUUACCAAGAGAUGACUAACCUCAAUCAACAAGAUUAAUUAAACGAGCAAGCAUUUAAUUAAAUCUACUCAAUCAAUCUACUCAAUCAAACCGUUACCCAGAUAGUUCGGCCUCCUGCUACGACACUAUCUUUAAAGAUAACGGGAACCUGCACUCAAUCAUAUCAACACGCAAGAAUAGAAAACAUGAUGCAUCCUAGCCCUAGUCCUAGUCAGGUUAUCAACUCAGUCUUAAUUCCAUUCAUCUCAGCUUAGCCCUUGCUAAACUGAGUCCAGUUCCAUAAAUAAAUAACCCUAAGGACUCUACCAUUCAAUAGAUUGAUCAUUCCAAUCUAUAUGCUACUCGAUCUACCCUAAAUUCCAAAUGGAAUUCACACAAAACCAACUCACAGUGUUCUAGGCGAGAAGUAGCUGGUUGAUCGGAGAGGACUUGGCCAAAACCCAAGGGACGACUUGAAUGGAGUGGACUGGACUGAUCUCGACUUGGACUGAUCUUGACUUGGAAAGAACCUCGGCUUCACCAUGAAGAAACUGACAGGCCUCGACAAACUGAUCUGGACUCGGACAGAACCUCCUUUAGCUUCUGGACAGUUCUUCGGACUUCCCGGCGGAGUAUCGAGCAGAACUUCGACUGAUCUGAACCCGUAGAACUGAACUAACUCCGGACAGCAUCUCCACUUGAUCAUAAAAGGAACUGAGUGCCCUGGACGAAUUCAGUUGGACAGAACCGUCCCUAGGCGCUGACUCGAAAUCAGUAGAGAACUGACCUCGAAAACUCUCUAAAAUUCUCGAAAUAGCUCGGAAUCACUUCCUUUCUUUUUCUACUUCUCUCUCACGUUUUUAACUUGGUUUGGACAGGUCUGGAUGUGAAGAAAUGAGCUGGGGUCGUGGGGUAUUUAUAGGAGACACCAGCCAAUCAGCUUCAGGUUGGUGGCAGCCCGUGUGUCGCUUCGCAUGGCUCCGGACGCAUGCGCGGCGGCACCUCGUGCUCCACAUGUCAGGCUGCAUGUCCAGGACACAUGCAGGACGCCACCACUCCUCCCACAUGUCAGGAUGCAUGCCUGGAGUGCAUGCAAGAAGCCACACCAGUACACACAUGUCGAUCAGCAUGCUUCGGUUGCAUGCGCGGAGACACCUCGUGCUUGGUCGAUCCACCUCGUGCUUCUACAUGUCAGGCUGCAUGUACAGCUUCCAUGCACGGCGACACCUCGAGCUUCUGGAGACACUCAGCUUGUUAGAUGCUUGACACCACGUUCUGAACCCAUGCAACGAGCCACCUCGAGCUUCUCGGUCGGUUUACGCGAUUUUUUACCCUUCCGGCAAAUUUCUGACCCGUGAUCAAUCCCGAAUAUUUUUCCGCUCCCGUUCUGAUGCUCUAAAUAUUUUUAAUAGACUCCAGAUGAAUUCUGAUAUCCUGUAAAAAUAUUUCCCGAGCCUCCGGCUUCCUCGAAGAAUUCCAUAAUACCGAAAUUAGGGUUUUUGCCCGAUUUCGGGUUUUCCCCGUCGUGCUUCGAUCCCGUCGUGCUUGCUUCCCGUCCUGCUUAAUUCCCGUCCUGCUUCCAACUUAUUAUGUCUCCAGAAUAAUAUUUUACUGAUACGAAGAUUUUCCGAGAAAACUUCGUAAUGAAGAAACGUCGGUCUUCAAAACGUCGGUCUUCAAAACUUCGAGCUUCUGAAACGUCGUGCUUCCAAAAAUGUUAUGCUUCCAAAACUUUCGUCUGAUCAAUCUAAGACAUCUUCUAACUAUGGUCGAGCAGCUUAUUCGACUCAUAGUUCCCUCGCAAACAAUUCUUCGACCACCUCGUUCUUCGAAAUUUGCCGAUCGAUCCUUACCGCCCGCGGUUCGACCACCAAGUUGAUGUUCGACCAGUCUUCUCUUUUCUUCGAAUCAUGUCAAGUUUUAUGUGAUCAAAACUCAACAUUCCUCCUGAUACUUAGACUCCCAAAUGCUCGGCUCCACAUUCAUUUUUUUUUUUUUUAAUCCCGAAGGGCGGGUUAUCACAAUGUCCCUCAGCUUAAGUAAUUUCCACCAAAUCCAUGAUCCCUUAUUAUCAUCUCUUACAUCCCAAAAGGAACUCUGUCUAAGCAAGUAGCGCUUGAUCCAACAAACCCACAGUGAAGUUGGUUGAGUGAAAAUACGCCAUAUAAGCCUAAAGCAUAAACCUUAGAUGUAUCUCUAAGCGUCCUCAACCCAAGCCCUCUCUCCUCCUUAGGGUAACAUAAAUCUUCCCAGCUCACCUUUGCUUUCAGAGUUUGCAUAGGCGAUCCUGACCAAAGAAAGGCACUGCACAUGCUUUCUAUUGUGUCCAGACAGUUAUCAGGGAGUAUAAAAGCAGAGCUCCGAAAAUUCAUCAUGCUCACAAUAACCGACUGAAUCAAUUGGAAUCGCUCAGCGAAGGACAGGCUCUUGUUCGACCAGCAGAGCAUCUUCCUUCUGAUCUUAUCUAUCAAAGGCUCAUAGUCAUGAGUUGUUAAAGAUUUUGUGCUUAAUGGCAUACCUAAGUAUCGAAUAGGUAGGUUUCCAACUCCAAUUCCCAAUGCCUCCGCUUCAGUAAUCAUUAACAUAUGGUUACUUCCUGCUACAUAUAUUUGGGACUUUGCUUCAUUUAUAUGAAGUCCAUAUAUCUCUGCAAAUUCUUUCAGAACCUCCAUAAUCCCGUUUAAAGAUUCUGAGGUGCCAUCAAUAAAAACCAGGAUGUCGUCUGCGAAACUCAAAUGAGUGAGCUUGACUCCUUGGCACUGAGGAUGAUAAGCAAACUUCCCCUCUUCGGCUGCUUGGUUGAGCAAUUUUGAGAGCACAUUACUAAGAAUGACGUACAAGCUCCCUUAUUCCUCUGGCGCUCGUGAAGAAGCCUUCAAGACUUCCAUUUACUAAAACCGAGCAUCCCUGCCUUAUUCCUCUGGCGCUCGUGAAGAAGCCUUUGAUUGCACAUCUUGCUGAGCAGGAGGCCUUGUGAUAGCCAUUUAUCAGCUCAGAUGCCAAGAGAACAUUUUCCAACAGCAGCCUUUCUUUUAUGAAUGCACUCUGAUUCGCCUCUAUACCUCCUGGAAAUAUGAGCUUGAGCAUGUUAGCUAACACCUUCGAGAUUACCUUGUACAACAGAUUGCAGCAUGCUAUGGGCCUGAAGUCUUUCAUCAUCUGUGCAUUUUCGGUCUUCGGGAUCAAUGUUAGACUUGUUGCAUUUAUUCAUGUAGGGAGAAAUCCAAAGAGGAAGAAAGACUGAAUCGCAGUAAUGAAAUCUCUGCCAAUCACAGGCCAAGCCGCAGCGUAGAAUUAUUUUGUGUAGCCGUCAGGUCAUCAUAUAUCUCGCGUCCUGAGACAGGAGCAACCAGCUGUGCACAUACACCUCCUGGGCACCUAUACGUCAGUAGACCACAGAGAUCAGCACCCGUACCCUCUAGUCCAGUGAUAUCCUGCGUUUGUAAGAAUCUUUGGAAGUGUGAGACCGCUGCUCUCUUAAUGUCAAUAGAUGCAGUAAGAAUUCUCCAAUCUCUGUAGUGAGGCUUUGAAUAGCGUUUCUAGCAGUCCAAGUCUGAACGAAACGAUGAUAGAAAACCGUAUUCAGAUCUCCAGCCUGCAGCCAUCUUAUACACGACUUCUGUAACCAAAAUUUCUCCUCUAUUCUUGCAAGCUUCUGCCAGCGAGCGGAAGCCUUAGACUCUUGAGAACAUUUUAGAGGGCUGGGGUCAGUGAGCACUCUGUUCUGACAAGCACAAAGCUCCUCAUAAGUUUGCUUGGUUCUGUUCGGUAAAUCACCAUAUCUGGUCCGGUUCAGAGCUCUUAGAUUGAACUUAAGCAGUUUUAAUUUCCUAUGAAAACAUGACAAAGUUGAACGAGAAUGGUAUAGCUUAGGCGAUGUAUCCCAAACUUCUUUGACAGUAUGUAGAAAAUCCUCAUGAUUUGCCAGAUAGUUAAAGAACCGAAAUGGCUUUCUUCAUCAAGGUCUCCUGAAAGCCUGACCAUACAUCUUGCAUGAUCUGAAACCCCUCCUGCUUCAAAUUUAGCAAAAGACUGAGGAUAUCUCUGCAGCCAUUCCCCAUUUACAAGAGCCCUGUCUAGUUUCUUCCCAAUAGGGUCCUCGUCUCUUUUCUUCCACCACGUAAAAAGAGCACCAAUAUAAGGUAGAUCCAGCAACACACAGUCGGUUGUAACUUCUUGAAAGUGCGUCAUACCCGUUUGAUCACUUCGAUAAUCCAAAGCGCGAGAGUGCUCGGUUGAGGAUAGAGUCACAUUAAAGUCCCCUACCAGAAUCCACAGGAGAUUAAGAAUAGAAUAUGCUGCUUUAGUUUCUCUCAGGUCUCUCCAAAGCUGUAUCCUCUCUACAGACGUAUUGUGGGCGUAGAUAGCUGAGCAAAUGAAUUGAUCCCCUGAUUCUGGUAUCUGAAUGGCACAUGUUAUGAUCUGAUCACUCAUGUGCAAUUUUGUUACCACCACCUCAUUUGACCAGCAAAACCAGAUUCUACCUAGACGAUGGUAUUCAUAAUUCGUCAAGACUUGCCAGUGAGGCAUAGCCGCUUCCAUACACUUCGUUAACUUCUCUUCUCGGACUCUUGUUUCUGCUAGACAGCCAAAAAUUGGUUUCUCAGCCUGAAUCCAACUUCUCACUGCUCUAUGUUCACAUGACAUGUUAAAUCCACGCAUAUUCCAAGCAAAGAAACUCGUCACAGCUUCCUUACAGAAGUUUUCUUUUGUUGUCCCUGCCUACCCCCAAACUUCAAAUCUUUUGCUUGAACUAUGGUCUUCUUUUUUGAUUUAUUUACUAAACCAACAUUUUGGCGCCUCCCUUUAACGGUCGAGACUUUAGAAGGCACUCCUCUCUUUUCAACUAAUUCACCCUCCUCGAUCUCAUCCUCCUCUUUGUUCAUAUCAUCCUCAUCCUUUUGUUCAAAUUCCCCAUCCUCCUGCUCCAAGUCCAAACGAGGGCUGAAUCUAGAAGGCGAGACCACUAUGUUGACUUCAUCAUCUUUAUUAAGCUCUGAACUCUCUGCAGAAUUGAGGUGUUGAUUGCCAUAUACCUGUGACCAAUUUCCCUCCACUGUAGCUGGAAAAGUCUCAGUUGUUGGCUCAGCAAUCCUAAUCUGUGGCAAAAUUUCAACAUUGUCUGUCUCACCAUCAUCAUGAGACUUUACCUCUAUGCGAGGCAGAGCCUGUUCCACCGGUGGUCCCUCUCCCUGCAGUUGAGAAUCUUUUGGUAGUGCUACCAACUCCUUCAAGAGAUCAGUAACAACAUUUCCUCGCGUACCAUCUUCCACCGGAGAUGGAACUACUUUGAAAACCUCCUUGCGUACAUCCUCUACUCAGCGCUGGAGUAUCUUGACAUUAUCAGCCUUGCAGUCUGAUCCCUUAUGCCCCCAUCCUUUACAAACAGCGCAACGCGACGGAAGCCAAGUAUAGUUUACUUCAAUCUCACACUGAUCUCCGUUCUUGUCUUUGAAGACAAUUCUCUCAACUAACGGGUUAUGCAAGUUAACCUCUGCUAAUAUACGAGCUACAUCCAAAUGAGUACACAUUUCCGUAUUGGGAUGAAGUUUUACGAAAUUCCCAGCCGCUCUCAUCAAACACUUCAAGCCAUAUUGAUUGUAUGGUUUGUGUUAUUUUUUAGGGGGAGAUUGAGAUAUUUGGCAAAACAAUAUGUAAGGAAAUUAGGAAGAAAUUAGCAAUACAUGUUAAAUGUGAUAAAAAGAAAGAAAUGAUAAUGAGAUAAAUAAGAAGAUACAAAAUAAUACAAAUACGAAGAAAAUGUAUAAGUCAAUCUGAUAAUUUCAUAUGUAAUUCCACAAAUAUUUGUUAUUACUAAAUACUCAUUAUUUAUUUUGUAUUAAACUUAUGAAAACUUUGCAACUCGAAAUUAUUGUGCAUCAAAGUUAAAUGGGGUGAUAUAUAAGUUAAUGUCAUGAUAUAUAAAUGCUUUAAAAUAUAUUUUACGUCCACUGAUCAUGAGUUCGUUAAUAAUUUGAUCUAACUCAUGUAAAAUAAAUAAUUUUAGCAACUUAGAUUAAUAUUUUGAAUUAUUACUAAAAUUAACGUUUCUAAAAUUAAAAUACUGAAUUUUUAAAAGUUUAAGCUAUUUUGAGUUAAAAAUUAUCUUUUUAUACUUCUAAUCAUUAUUCAAAACUUAUGGGGAUUAUAUGCAUAAUAUAUAUUUUCAUACAAUAUUUAAAUUUGCUAAUUCGCAGACAAUCACUUAGUUAAUAUAUUAUAGUAUAGAAUUUUAUAAAAAUAAACUUCGUGAAGAAUAGUUUUAAUAUAAAACAUUACAUAUUUAAUAUAUUUUUAUAAUUUAUAAACGCAUAAACCACCUAAAUAAUAAUUUAAGGUCUGAUUAGUCGUUAUAGGCGUUAGGUGCUGAGUUACUGUCUGUUUAGCUCCUAACAUGUACACUUGCUUUGAUCUACCGUUGCACAGAUUGUGGAAACAGUAUCAAGUAUAUCAUUCUUGACUACCAUCAACAGCACUGGUGCAUCAAUGUCUUCUCCGACAAUGCAGUCUGCGUAGAAUUACCACCAACCCAUCUAACAACUUGUUUGGUCGUGACGACGUCACACAUAUCCCUGUUCAUUUCACAGUAGAACCCUAGGUACGUAAAUAUUUCAAUCACCAUCUGGUCCUAUUUAUUAUCAAGGGCAUGAUCCCCUUCCUAAUCGUCGUAGGUUGUCGCGCAUGUUUAUUUCCUAUAAAACGAAAGUGUCCUCCUUCAUCGACAUACAAACUGCAACAAAUAUAAAACUAACGUAAUAAUAAAAUAGAAAAUGGAUAUUAAAGAUAUUGUUGUCAACAAAAUCAAAUAAUGACACCUAUUAUAGAGUUAUCAGUUUUGCAUUUAAUAUGUAAAUUAGAGAUAUUUUCUCUAAUUUCUUUUUUUUUUUCACUGAAAAUGCAUUACUUAUAAAAAUUGUCAACCAAAACACAAGUUCUCGCCAAGAAAUUAAAAACAGAGCCUCAAACUCUAAUUUAUUUUCUUGUAUUUAUUUUUAUUCUUCUUUCUUUCACUUUGGAAUGUAAACAAUAAUAUAUACAGAGAUGAAGCAAAAGAUAGAAAAAGAAUAUUUUUACUAUGUGAAAUUAAUACUGAGGAUAGAAGAACAACAAAGCUCUUCUUCUCCGACUAUAGUUGGUGAUUAUAUUUUCUCUUUCAAAUUUUUUUUAUUGGAUCUUACUGAUUAAUCUUAGGAUUAUAAUUUUUUAGAGAUUGAUUUCUCUUUGAUUUUGAUAAAUUAAGGGUUUUGAUUUUGGAUUUGAGAUGAGUUAGUCUAAUAAUAUUAAUAUCUCAUGUUCUUUUUUUAAGAUGGUUUUUAUGAGAUGAAUAUGAAUAAUUAAUAAUUAAUUUAGAUUUAUAAUUAUUUGGGAGUUGGUUUUUUUUUGGAUUUUGAUCAAGAAAAAGAUUUGAUUUUUGAUUUAAGAUCAACUAGUUUUAAUGAUGAGGAGGUGGAUCAACAUGUAAAAGCUUCAGGAAAUUUAAUUAUUGUUACAACAAAACAGAAGCAAGUAUUGUAUGAUAUAAAGUCCGUCUAAAAAUGCCAUUCAUUUGGGUUUAACUUCACAUUGGGUAGUUCAUGGUAAUGAAAAUGUAACCGGAUAUUAUACAUUAUAAUAGAACGUUUGUAAAAUAAAUGGUUAACAUGACCAUAAAUAAAUGAUAUACGUUUAAAUUACCAAAUUAUAAUUAAAACAUCAAAUUCUAAAAAUACUACCUGGUUAUUCAACCACACGUCUGUGGUCGGGUGGUCAAGAUGUUCCGUAGAUUCCUAAAAGGAUCCGAAUUCAAAUUUGCAUCAUUCCAGAUUUCCACGCGUGUGAUCACCGGAGUUUUCACAUUCUCUCCGGAGAAUGGUUUAUCAUUGUUUUUUUUUGUUCCUAAGUGGUUAUUCCAAUUAUUUUAUUAUUAGUCCGAUAAAAAUUGUUAAUGAAUAAUGUUUCUUUCCAGGUAGAUGCAGCCAAAUUCGAUCAGUGACAAACAAGUAUUUAUUGCUAUCGGUGACUACAGAACACUCAAAUUUCCAAUAUGAAUGUCCUUCACUUGAUCUAACGAAGGUGAUCAUGAAAGAUGCAAAACCAUCUAGGUGGAUGAAUCGUCUUAUGAAGUAGUUGGAAAUGUUUGUGGGUAUUUAAAAUAUUCCUUGACAUAAAUAUUGCUAGUAUGGUGUAAUGUGCAUGAAAAUCAGUAUGUAUCCGGCAUGUUGUUUUUUAGUUUUUGAUGGUUAGAUAUAAUUUAACAACUGGAUAAUGUUAUGUAUUUCUAUAUAUGUUUAAUAUAAUUGGUUUUAUUUAAAUAUAACCAGAUUUGUUGAUGUUUAUGUUUAAGUAUAAAUUAUACUCCCUCCGUUUUUUUUAAUAUAAGUCGUUUUGGAGAAAUUUUUAGGUUCCAAAUUAUAUGACGUUUUCGGUUUUCUAUGCAAAAUUUAUUAACACUUAGUGUUAUAUGACUAAUGAUAAUAUACAUUCUAUCCCCUAGACUAUAUUUGCGAAGUGAUUUUGCCACAUGUCCUAUCUACAAUCAUUUUUACAAAAAAAAUGAUGACAUGGCUAACAAAAUUGAUGACAUGGCUUAUAGUUAAUAUGACAUGGACAAUCACAUUUAUUACUGACAUAUAUUUUUGGUACACUUUAUAGAAUAUUGCAAUAACUAAUACAUUACCCUCCACAACACAUAAUUUUAUUAUUGGUUGAUUUGUGGUUAGGUAAGUAGUUAAUGAUGUUUUUGUUUAGAAAAUAUAAAAAAUUAAUGAUUUUUUUAAUCUAUGCAGACAAUUCUAAAAUGACUUAUAUUACAAAACGGAGGGAGUAGUUAAAAAUGAAUUAUAUAACCAGAUUUGUUGCAUUAAAUGUGAGAUAUCAUGUAGAUUUGGUGUCAAAUAUAACUAGUUUUCCUAAUAUGAAAUGGUUCAUGUGUUAUAAAAGGUUCAUGUGUUAUAAAAUAAGUUCUGUAGCAUAAUCCAAACUGUGGAGGAACAUUUUUGUGUCACAACAAUACAUGUUGUGAAAUUUAUGUGGUAGUUAAGAAAUAUAUCAUGAACGAAAUAGCUGAAACGAAAUUAACAAGUUUAUCUAAUAAAAAUGUCAAAUAUUCUGACUGUGUUUAUCUUGUUCUUGCCGUAAACACCAUCUUUUCAUAAGUUUUUAGUUAAAACUCUUCAAAAUAUUCUGAUUGCUAAGUGUAAAUUUUUUGUUUACCUCAAUAACAAAACUCGGCUCAGUUCGGGAAGAACAAGUAUGCAUAAAUACUUGUAUAUAUUAUUAAGGACUCGGGAAGCAUAUUGUUAUGUACUUAUUAGAAGCUUAUAAAAAAUGACACAGUAAUUUGAAGAUCUUCAAUUCUCACGGUCUGACGCAAGAGUUGAUUCGAAAAUUAUAAAAUUUUCUCAUAUUUUUUUGAGAAAAAAGUAGAAGAAAAAAUGAUUGUUGGCUAAAGAGAUGAGGCAUGAACGGAUCAUGUAAUACCCCUGAAAAAAUAUCAAAACAUGUGGUCAUGUUAUGCCCAAAAAUAAAGUUUCACGUGCAGUAGGAAACAGAGAACAUUUUUCAAAAAAGAAAAGAAAAGUUAAAAGUUAGAGAGGUAUUACCAGAGAAGCAAAGAUGGGCUGCAUUGAUCUUAUCAAUUUAACAAGUACCAAUAUUUAUCGGCUGGUGCUUACAAGAACAUCAAACAAACCCUACAUCACAAGAGGAUCAUCGAUGGCUGCUAUUCGAGCUGAGUCAGUGGCUACUGAGAAAUUAGGAAUCUUUAUCGAGAAGAAUCCUCCCGAGUCCAAACUCACCCAACUCGGUGUUCGUAGUUGGCCCAAGUACGCCCUUCUUCGUCUUUAGUUCUUGAUUCGAAACCAAUUAGUAGACACAAUCAUCAAAGCUUUAUUCUUUUUUCUCGCCUGGAAAAGAUGUCUUUAAGCUUUUUAUCGUUGUUGUCGAAUUCAAUCACCGUUGGUUUGGUGAAAUGAUGGAACAGGUGGGGUUGUCCUCCAAGCAAGUUUCCGUGGACUUAUGAUGCAAAGGAGACUUGUUUUCUGCUAGAGGGGAAAGUGAAAGUGUACCCUGAUGGGUCCGAUGAAGGCGUGGAGAUUGAAGCAGGCGACUUUGUUGUUUUCCCUAAAGGGAUGAGUUGCACUUGGGAUGUAUCCGUUGCUGUUGAUAAACACUACCAAUUCGAGUGAAUGGCUAUCAGUUUCUGCUCCGCAUAUUUGGUGAUAUGUUCGAUAUAACUUCACUGUCAUUGUAUGUUGACUUAAUUUUGUGUGUCAUGUAUCAGUCUAUGCAUUGCUGGGAUUUAUUUGCUUCGAUAUCUAAGUGAUUUCUCGUCAUGUAAUGUCCCGUUGCUGGCAUUUCCUGCCCGAUCCUCAUCAUCCUAACUUAGGUUAGAGCGUCGAGGAUCUAGGGGUUUAAUUGUUUUGGUAUGUUCUUUUGGCUGCCUAGGACAGGCUUGAAGUAUGAGACUAUUAGAGAAUUUCGGUUAGAAGUUUUUUUGCGUUAUUUUAGAAUUUUUAAGGACUUUGUGCUUGACAUGUCCUAGGAUAAGCAGAUAAAGAAAACCAGAGAAAUAAAUAUUAGCACUAGAUUUGUUCAUUAUGAAUCUAGCUAUUCAACAAGCCAAAACCCAACACUACACUGAGAAAAUUAGUUUUGCACCUCAUUCGAACUCACCUGAAAAAAA
rnacentral:lncRNA from 1 species